GACGAACGCUGGCGGCGUGCCUAAUACAUGCAAGUCGAACGCAGUGGGGACGGGUGAGUAACACGUGGGUAACCUCCCCAUCAGAGGGGAUAACACUGGGAAACAGGUGCUAAACCGAUACUGCUGGAUGGACCCGCGUGGCAUUGGCUAGGUGGUUAGGUAACGGCUCACCAAGGCCACGAUGCAUAGCCGACCUGGGAGGGUGAUCGGCCACACGGGGGAUGAGACACGGCCCCGACUCCUACGGGAGGCAGCAGUAGGGAAUCUUCGGCAAUGGACGAAAGUCUGACCGAGCAACGCCGCGUGAGUUAAGAAGGUUUUCGGAUCGUAAAACUCUGUUGUUAGAGAAGCGGUAUCUAACCAGAAAGCCACGGCUAACUACGUGCCAGCAGCCGCGGUAAUUC
rnacentral:rRNA from 1 species